CGUAACCAUUUACAUUCUUCGCUACGUUGGACCAGCUCGAUGCAAAGGAACCCAACAUUCAGCGUGAUAUCACGAGAUUUAUAUUGCACUAGGUGACAUGCCUAGCAGCCGCGAUAUUGAACGAGCUGAACGUAAUGGAAGAUUUCGAUCUCGCAGACGAGGUAGUACUAGCAGUGAUAUAAAUCGACAUAGUUUUGACUCAACUGACAAGAAGCAUAAAAGGCAUGGAAAAAACAAAGCUUCUGGUAAAAAGAAGAAAAAGAGAUCAAGAGACAAGUCUGUAGAGAAUGUUCCGACUGUAGCUUCUUCGAUUAUUAAACCUUUGGUUGAGUACUCAGAUGUGAGUAGCGAAGAUCUAUCAGAACCAGAAGCUGGAGAAAUUCAAUCAGAAGAUAGUAGAGGUAAUAGCUACACGGAUGGAGAAGUACCUGAUCCACAAGUUUUACAAAGACGUUACUAUGGAGGGAGUCCAGUGCGUGCUCUUGGAGCAUCUCCUAUUAGUCUUUCACCGUCACCACCAGCUCAACACAGACAUACCAACAGACAUUAUUCACCAAAUGAACAACAGCCGACAUCAGCGAUGCAUGGUGGAACGCCUGAAUAUGAGGAAGAAUCCAGACGAUAUGCGAGAAGAAAAGAAAAGAAACAUAAACGAGAGAAGAAAAAGAAGAGAAGUAUUAGCCCUUCAUCUAGUACAGGAAAGAAAAAGAAACGAAAGUCGAAGAGGCAUUCUCAUAGUUUGAGCCCACAUCACAUCGCGGAUGAAAUUAUUAUAAGUCCGGAACACGAGAAACCUGUAAGAAACUGGUCGGAAUCUCCGCCUUUGCCGUUAAAAGACAGUACCUCGCCCAUAUCGCCUGCGACACCUCAAGAACAAAGAUGUAUGAGCGAUGUAGAACUCGAAAUGUCGAGGCAGCCUCGCAACGUAACUCCUCCUCCGCUUCCUCCGAGGCCAACAGAAUCUCCUCAUACACCUUUGUUACCUCCAAGGACAACAACGCCAGAAAGUAAUAAAGCAAGUUUAUCCAUAAUGAAACAUACACCUGAAAGACAAAAGCAUAGUCCGAGUAUUCAUCCUCGACGCAACAGCGUUAGUCCAGGUCCGACUAUUAGUUCAAGUCGCAGGAGACCUCACAGUCCAAGCCCGCCAUCAAGACGAAGGGACCAUAGUCCAGCAAGAAGAAGAGAUUUCAGUCCAAGUCCAAUGGUGCACAGACUUAGGCACAGUCCCAGUCCCUCCACAAGGAGAAGGGAGUUUAGUCCGAGUCCCGUGAGCCAUCGACGCAGAGAGCCUGUUACUUCUCCAUCGAGUAAACGUAGAAGACGAGACGAAUCUGAGCGUCGACACAGACAUCAUGAGAAGGACAGAAGAGAUAAAAGAAAGUCAAGAUCAACCAGAAGUCCCCCUGGAAACAGAUUGCAUUUACCCCUUUCUCGUUCGCGAUCACGUAGUCCCGCAAGAUGGCGAAAAUUACAGUCACGUUCAAGAUCGCGAUCGCGAAGAAGGAGUCGUACUCCGAAAAAAUCUCGUUCUCCUAGCAAAUCACACAAAUCGAUCAGGAAACAUAAAUCAAAGAGUCCGCGCCCUUCGAGGAUUCCUUCUCCAUCUCCUCAUAGAUCCAGAGCAAGGAGUCCAUCAAGCAUCACUGCUAGAAAUCUUCGAGUACAAGCAAAGAUUAGUGAGACUAGUUUGUUUGCUGAACUUGUGAAAGAUAGAAAUAUGAGGGAAUUAGCAUAUAAAAAGUUACAAGCAGCCAAGGAGAAGGCCGUGAAUCAGGAUGAAGUUCAAAUCAUAGAAGGUAACGACGAGAAAGACGGUAGUAAUGCAUCAUCUGAAAAUAAAAAUUCUGCUGACAAUAAGGACAAGUACGCAAAUCAUAAAGAACAGUUGAAGACACCAAACGAAAAUAUAAAGCCUGUUGAUCUUGUGGAUAUUCCUGUUCCAAUGUCGGACGAUAAUGGGAAAACGCCACCAUUACCAAUGACACAAAGCGUUAAUCCGCCAAACGUAAUGCCUGGAACUAAUCAGUAUCCUCCAACAAUUGUAUAUACUUCACCUGUAACAAGUAUAUCUAACAGUUGUCCAAUUGCUAUUACGAACAGUCCAAAUUUCCCAACUGUUACAAGUGUACAACCACCACCAUUGCCACAAUCUGAACCUGCGAAUGCAACAGGUUUACCACAAGUAUCUAUGCCAGUGCCUAUUCCUGUACCAGUACCUGUACUUCCUAAUUUAUCCGUUCCACCACCGCCUAUACCGAUACCGGUUCCAGCACCGACUACGGCCAUAUCGAAAUUUAAUCCUCCUAACAAUCUAGUUCCUCUUAAAUCAGUAGACCCUCCUAAACCUCCUAUCGUGGCAUUUAAAACUAAAAGUUUAUCAAGAUUACCAUUACCACCCGGUAUCAAUCAAAAUGAUUUAGAGAGUAUAGACUCGCCGCCAAGUCGAUCUCCUAGUCCGCCUAGUAAAGCGCAAAUGAAAUUCCCAGCUUCAACCUCAAAGCCACCUCAGAAGAAGGGUAUCAAAGACUUGCCUAUGCCACCUGUUGUUCCUGGAUCAGAAGAUUUAAGCGGGGAAGACGAUCCAAAUGCAACACCUCCGCGUACGAAGAUCGAACGUGUUCCACCAAAACCAAAAUUGAAGAGACCAAAAAUUUUGAAACGCAGAGGUUCCAGAAAUUGUCACGCACCUAUGUCGGCUUCCAGUGGUAAAGAUUGGGGAGAACGCUCGGUCGAUGUGUUUGAAGUUAUAGCUCAAAUAGGAGAAGGUACUUAUGGACAGGUGUACAAAGCGCAAGAUAAACGAGACGGUGCGCUCGUUGCCUUGAAGAAAGUUCGUUUGGAAAACGAGAAAGAGGGAUUCCCGAUUACGGCAGUACGUGAAAUCAAAAUUUUGCGGCAACUUAAUCACAAGAAUAUCGUUAAUUUAAGGGAAAUAGUUACUGAUAAGCAAGAUGCAUUGGACUUCAGAAAGGACAAAGGUUCAUUUUAUCUCGUGUUCGAAUACAUGGACCAUGACCUGAUGGGUCUUUUGGAAUCUGGUAUGGUUGAUUUCAACGAAAUGAAUAAUGCGAGUAUCAUGAAGCAGUUAUUAGAUGGAUUGAACUACUGCCACACUAAAAACUUCUUACACAGAGACGUCAAAUGUUCUAACGUAUUGAUGAACAACAAAGGGGAAGUCAAGUUAGCUGAUUUCGGACUUGCAAGAUUUUAUAAUGCUGAAGAUAGACAACGUCCCUAUACGAACAAAGUGAUUACUUUGUGGUAUAGGUCACCAGAGCUAUUGUUGGGCGAAGAGCGUUAUGGUCCUGCAAUAGACAUAUGGAGUUGUGGUUGCAUAUUGGGAGAACUGUUUGCUAAGAAACCACUAUUUCAAGCAAAUACAGAAAUGUUGCUGUUGGAGACGAUUUCCAGGAUUUGUGGUACACCGACUCCUGCCGUUUGGCCUUCUGUGAUAAAAUUGCCAUUAUGGCAUACAUUGAAACCAAAAAAGUCACAUAGAAGACGUUUACGAGAAGAUUUUUCGUUUAUGCCAGCUCCAGCUUUGGAUCUUUUAGACAAAAUGCUGGAAUUGGAUCCAGAGAAGCGGAUAACAGCUGCUGAUGCACUGAAAAGUGCCUGGCUGAAAAAUAUUCAACCUGAGCAGAUGCCAGCACCUCAGCUUCCUACCUGGCAAGAUUGUCACGAGUUAUGGAGUAAAAAACGGAGAAAGCAAUUACGUGAACAACAAGAAAGCUCUGCUGGAAGGAUGCCUCUUCUUCCUCUUCCAAAUAAAGGAGGUCCCCAUAAGGCUAUUGAAGAUCUAUCCGAUGUCGGGGGGUCUUCCAAACGGUUAAAAUUGGAAGCAGGUUACAAUUCUCAUCCAAAUCGUCUUGGUCCGGAUUCUCAUUAUGGGGGAGAUAACAUGUUCAACCAAAAUAGACCUUACAUGGUCUCAUCGCCGUCGUAUUAUUACACUAGUCCGCCUCCCGUUACGCCGAGGCCCAAGGGAGACACUGGCAGACCUUACAUGGUCUCAUCACCAUCAUAUUUCUAUGUUAGUCCACCACCUGUUACACCGCGACCCAAGGGAGAUACUGGCCCUCAUAAUAUGUCGGAGUUAUGCGCUGAAGAUAGUCUUGUUCGAAAAUUAAGUGCCCUCACAAAUGCGUUAAACCAGGGAAAACCAAUUCGCGUCGAAGAUCUGAUGUCACUUCGAACAGAUAAUGAAAGUGACCCAAAAGUAAUACAGUUGUUAGGAGAGUUACACGCUGAACUUCGACUUACUGCAAAUUCAAGAUCAAGUGGAGCAGAGUCUCAUAUGUCUGCAUUGAAUCCACCACCUUUAGACUCGGAUACAGCUCAGUCAGGAAAGUUUGACGCUUAUGCAGUUUAUGCUGGUGACGAUGCAAUGAGCUCUGGAAGAUGGUCACAAGUGGCAACGGCUGGUGUUCGCAGUGCAUUACUAGCGCUCAUGUCGCGCUACGGUUUGGAGACUUGCAAUCCUUCCCCUGUUAUCACCCGACCCCCAGGUAAACCAACAUCCAACCUAACGCAGAACCUAUUCCUGCCCUCAACUUCCUCUCAGUCAGCAUUCAGCUCAUAAUGAUUUGUAUAUACAUACAUAAUAUAACUCUUUACAGCAUUCUAAGCUACAUAUUUCUGUAUAAAAUUGGGAAAGGUCUAAAUUACUAUUUUUUAAAUUAACUAGGCAUGGAGGUACAACUGCAUCCAAGUUGUUUAUAGACUCUGCUAUCUGUUCAUGACUGUAAGUGCACAUUCGGAACAUACUUGUAUAUAAUUGAUGUAUUAUUAAGGUGUGACCAGCUACUUAUUACAAUACUUGUAUCUUUAAUAAUAUCAACGUGCUCCUUAUAGUGCAAAUUUAUGCUAUAUACAAAAUAAGAGUCUUAAAAUUUCACUAUUUUUCUUUUUAAUUUCUUCAAGAGUAAAAUUAUAUUUAGUAUUGAAGAUAUCUAAUCUUUAUGUGCACAUAUAUGAGAGCACACAUAUACAUAUUGUAUGUACAUUUGAAAGAAGUUUGAUGUACACAGAUAUUUUUAUCUGUUUCAAUAGUACGAUUUCUUUUUGAAGUAUUUAGCAUUUAUUAUAUACAGUUCUAUGUCAAGCAAUGUAGUUUAUUAUCAUGAAUGAAUUUAUUAAAACAGAAAAAAGAAAAAACAGAAUGAACGUGAAAAGAAAUUUAAAUCUGAUAUAUUUUAGAUGUUUAUUUGUUGCAUACGUCUUAUUUUUUUAUGUACACUGUUAAAUAAUUAAUUUAUUGUGGAAAUAUUUACGGGAUGUAAUGUACAUAACGAUAUUAUUGACGAUAUAAUAAAGAGAUAAGAGUAUACUUAAUACAUACUAGGCUUUUUUAGGAUGAGAGAGUUAAUAUAAUUCGUCAUAAAUUUACAGUAGCGAAGAUUAUGAGUAUGUGAUGAGAUGGUAAUUACUUGUUCAGUUACGAUGAAUAACUUCUGCUUGGUUAGGCACAACAUCACGUCCAAUAACUUUCUUCUUAUGAGAAAACUCAAGAUUUUCGAAACAAUUUUCGUAAUAAAAGUAGGAUAGGGUAAGAUUAACACAAUUUUCACGAACGUUUCAGAUUGAAGUGAUUCCAUGUGAAACACUGCGAAAAUGAGGUUAGGACUUGUGCUUCUAUACUGGCCAAUACCGGCAAGCUGUAUACAAUGUGUGACAAUAUGAUGGCGAUUAUUUGUGCGACUGCGGUUUUGACGAGAAACUGGCGACACGCUGUAUAGUUUAGUGAAGUGAUCAAUGCAACGGAAUGCAAUCAAAGAAAAUAAAUGCAACGAAUUGAUCAACAACGGCAAGAGUGAGAAAAGGGCAGGGUACCGAAUUGUUUGACAAAAUAAAUACCUAACCUACCUCGUU